rnacentral:rRNA from 1 species
UACGAUGAAGAGUUUGAUCCUGGCUCAGGAUGAACGCUAGCGGCAGGCUUAACACAUGCAAGUCGAGGGGUAGAAGRAGCUUGCUUCUUUGAGACCGGCGCACGGGUGCGUAACGCGUAUGCAAUCUACCUUUCACAAAGGGAUAGCCCAGAGAAAUUUGGAUUAAUACCUUAUAGUAAUAUGACUUGGCAUCAAGAUGUAUUUAAAGAUUUAUCGGUGAAAGAUGAG